rnacentral:rRNA from 1 species
CAGCCGCCGCGGGAAUACGAAGGGUGCAAGCGUUAAUCGGAAUUACUGGGCGUAAAGCGUGCGCAGGCGGUUUGUUAAGACAGAUGUGAAAUCCCCGGGCUCAACCUGGGAACUGCAUUUGUGACUGGCAAGCUAGAGUAUGGCAGAGGGGGGUGGAAUUCCGCGUGUAGCAGUGAAAUGCGUAGAUAUGCGGAGGAACACCGAUGGCGAAGGCAGCCUGCUGGGCCAAUACUGACGCUCAUGCACGAAAGCGUGGGGAGCAAACAGGAUUAGAUACCCGAGUAGUCCCUGUCUCUUAUAU